CCUUCCUUAAAUUUAACAGAAAAUGCUGCUGCGUGUCUCAUUUGGCGGAGUGCAGAAGUACAUGAAGCUGCCUGAACUAACAUUCGGUGAUUUCUUGAGAGAAGGUUAGUCACUAAAUUUGGAUUGAAAGUAGCCUAAUCAAGUGGUGGCAUAUUGCAAUUGUUUCUCAUCAGAACAUUUUGUGCACUGUUUAUUUCUUUUACUCAAGUGAGUCUAAAAUGUAACAUUGCUGAAGACAGACGGUUGGACAUCAAGGUUUAUGACCAGUCUAACACAGAGGUCGACUCUGAGGUUUUUGAGGAGAUCGUACAAGAGUUCCAUGGACCUUUCCUAAUUUCAUUGGCCAAUGAAGCACCUGGUUACCCUCAGUCCACGUCAUCUCCAUGCUCUAUUGCAUCUGAAGACACAGUGAUCCUCAACUUCUCGUUGUGUGACCCAGCUGAGGAGCCAGUUGCAGCCGAAGGAAGUCAACCUAAAAGGCCUUGCCGCAUUAACUAUGAAGCAAAAGCUCUGAUUGAAAAAAUCUUGACGACAAAGCCUGGAGGUGACCGUGUCAUGGAGGAGUAUGCGAAAACGAAAUCAAUUACAGAUUCAACCAGAAGACAGCUCAUCAACAUACUUACUGCAGAGAUGACGGAAACACAUGGGACAUCGCCGCCCCGGAGUGUAAAAGUGAUGUCUGCACAGGGGAUUGUCGCUCUGUUUCCAUACCUUGAAGACCCAUAUUCACAGAAUGGCUAUGAACAUUACUACGAUCCUGAAAGUGGUUCAGGCUACAUUGCAUGGCGGUUGAAGACAAUUCAACGAAAAGCUGCUGAGGAAAGAGGUCCUGCAGUUACAUCUCCUAAAGGUAAUAUUUAUCAUGAGGUGGAAUUAUCAACCUGUGAAAUGUGUUUAAAGGAGGAUAUGAAACUGUGUAGUUAUUAACAGCAACAACAAAAUUGUCUUGUUCUAAAGUUGGUGGGCCAGGCCAUGGGCGUACUAGACCCUUUACUUCCGACAGAGUCCUGACUGACGAGGAAGUGGAAUGCGCUAUCGCUUUGUUGAGACACACUGCUGAUGAGGAGACCAUCCGUGAAAAGAUGAAAGUCAAUUUCGCAUACCCCCACGCCAUGGUCAAUGAUGAGAACAAAUCAGCAGAGGUCUUCUCAGUAUUUCCACGGUUCCUAGACACACCAGGACUGGUAUGGCAUUUACAUUCAUUGAAUACUGAGACAUAUUGUAAAAUGUAGCACAAGGUACCAACUCAGGUUGUCCUCCUUUUCUCCUUUUUUUCUUUUUCAAACUACAGAUGGAACAAGAUUUUAGAGUGAUGUUUGGUGAGCAGACUGCCAACAAGUUCAUGGAGAGGUGGCCUACCACUUUCAAAGCAGGAGUCAUUAAGGAAAGCCAUGGACUAGUCCCCUCCACAGACCUUCUUGAUUUAAUGCGCAAUGCUGAGACAUCUACUGAAGUUGAAAAAGGCUGGGACAGUGACAUGUCUGCAAUCAUACUGCUGCUACAUCUGCUACCACCAUCUGCACAGGGACGAAAGAGGCCAGGGAAGAUAUCAGCAUCAAAUGCAGUUGAUCACCUCAUCAAAUUCCAAAAGACGGGAACAAGCGUGCAGCAGCAUCUUGACAACAUCGCUCAAAGCAGUCAGCCCUACCUCCUUGCUCAGGGACCCACAAAAAGCAGCAUUCACUCUUUCUUCAUUGCCAUCGACAAGCAUGCACUUCCAUGCCAAGCCACCAGCUCGGUGGAGCCCUGGAUGAGCUCUUCAAGGCCCACUAUGUGUUUGGUACAUCUUACAGUCCUGCCUUGAACAACUUUUUCACUUUUCUGCAAACUUCCAUUUACAACAUUGACGUGGGGAAAACUAAGGAAACGCCAAGAAUUGCAGAGUUGCGAGCGAGAAUGGUGCGUUAGGCACUCUUGAAAUUAAACAAUGAGGUGCUUUCUUUGCAGCAAUGUCUUUGGUGAAGCAAACAAUCUAGUAAAGCGCCUCAAAGUAAUACAUGGACUCUGUACGGGAAGGACUCUUUAUCUUCAAUGUGGCCAAGUGGGAUGCUCACGUUUUUUCAAUAGUUUUUCUGGUCUUAGGAAGCAUCUGAAUAAGUGUCAUGUGAAUAGUGCAUGUGAUGUUAUUGUUGAAACUGAACCUAUGUAUGUUGUCCCAUAUUGUUAUCUCUGAGGAGUUAUCAGGAAAUAAAUGGUGCUACAGUACCUGAUGGUGUGUAUUG